CUACGGAGGAUGCGAGCGUUAUCCGGAUUCAUUGGGUUUAAAGGGUGCGCAGGCGGCCUUAUAAGUCAGUGGUGAAAUCUCCCGGCUCAACCGGGAAACUGCCAUUGAUACUGUAAGGCUAGAAUACAGACGAGGUAGGCGGAAUGUAGCAUGUAGCGGUGAAAUGCUUAGAUAUGCUACAGAACACCAAUCGCGAAGGCAGCUUACCAGACUGUAAUUGACGCUAAGGCACGAAAGCGUGGGGAGCGAACAGGAUUAGAAACCCCGGUAGUCC
rnacentral:rRNA from 1 species